AGAGUUUGAUCCUGGCUCAGGACGAACGCUGGCGGCGUGCCUAAUACAUGCAAGUAGAACGCUGACUACUUUAGCUUGCUAGAGUAGAAGGAGUUGCGAACGGGUGAGUAACGCGUAGGUAACCUGCCUACUAGCGGGGGAUAACUAUUGGAAACGAUAGCUAAUACCGCAUAACAGUGUUUAACACAUGUUAGAUGCUUGAAAGAUGCAAAUGCAUCACUAGUAGAUGGACCUGCGUUGUAUUAGCUAGUUGGUGGGGUAACGGCCUACCAAGGCGACGAUACAUAGCCGACCUGAGAGGGUGAUCGGCCACACUGGGACUGAGACACGGCCCAGACUCUACGGGAGGCAGCAGUAGGGAAUCUUCGGCAAUGGGGGCAACCCUGACCGAGCAACGCCGCGUGAGUGAAGAAGGUUUUCGGAUCGUAAAGCUCUGUUGUAAGAGAAGAACGUGUGUGAGAGUGGAAAGUUCACACAGUGACGGUAACUUACCAGAAAGGGACGGCUAACUACGUGCCAGCAGCCGCGGUAAU
rnacentral:rRNA from 1 species